UGAAAACAAGGAAAAUCCGUCUGGAAUGCCUAACGUGGAUUGCUGAGGAAUAUAAUACAGACUCAUGCUGCUGGAGCUGAGUAAUGCUGGGAACAUGAUAAAGUUUUGCAACAUUUGUUAAGUAUACAAACUGUAGAUGAUCAAAUACCCUGCACAACUGAAUCAGGGAUAUUGACUGUUCUCACCUCCUUUCCUCUAUGCUUUGAGGCCACCAUGCUAGAUAAAACUUCUUUAAAGCACCUGAGAGAGAGAGAGAAAGAACACCUCCAGAGAGCAGCCUGCUGAUAGAACCUACUUCUAACAAUAUGGACAAGGCUUUGUUGGAUGUCACUGGCAGAGAGAUCAGGAGCUUAAGAUGAUCUUAAUGGCCACAGCAGGUGCGUGUUCUUCUCUUUCCUCCAAACUUGUGUGAGCAGGGGAAGUUCCAGCACAGACCCUGCACAGCUGAUAGAAUAUGUGGGCUAAUCCAACAGCUACAGCUGUGCAACAACAGAACAAAUAAAGGAUUUGGAGAGUCACCCAGCUCCAGAAAAAUUGAGUGUUUACCAUCACAGGAAAUAGACUUUCAUAGUUAUUUUUCAUGGCCAACAUUACUUCUUGAGAGUCAUCAUAUUUUAUGAAAACUUUUAUUAGCGUUUCCGAAUGACCUUACCCCCAUUGUGUUUUUAUCAGUCCCA